UACGGAGGAUGCAAGCGUUAUCCGGAAUGAUUGGGCGUAAAGCGUCCGCAGGUGGCUGUGUAAGUCUGCUGUUAAAGAGUGAGGCUCAACCUCAUAAAGGCAGUGGAAACUACAUGGCUAGAGUGCGUUCGGGGCAGAGGGAAUUCCUGGUGUAGCGGUGAAAUGCGUAGAGAUCGGGAAGAACAUCGGUGGCGAAAGCGCUCUACUGGACCGCAACUGACACUCAGGGACGAAAGCUAGGGGAGCGAAUGGG
rnacentral:rRNA from 1 species